rnacentral:rRNA from 1 species
GACGUAGGUGGCGAACGUUAUCCGGAAUUAUUGGGCGUAAAGGGUGCGUAGAUGGUAUAAUAAGUUAGCAGUGGUAAAUCGAGGCUCAACCUCGUGGAAGCUGGUAAUACUAUUAUGCUUGAGUGCAGGAGAGGUUAACGGAACUCCAUGUGGAGCGGUAAAAUGCGUAGAUAUAUGGAAGAACAUCAAUAACGGCGAAGGCAGUUAACUAUUCUGUUACUGACAUUGAGGCACGAAAGCGUGGGGAGCAAAACGG